GCACAAAUGUUGAAGGAAAUUGAAAUAACAAAAAAAAAGCAUAAAACAGAAAAUAUCAGAGAUAGUAAAUUAUGAACCUCAUCAUCAAUGUUUGAAAAAAUCGAAUUGAAACCGACAACAUCCAACCCUACCUUGCUCGAACAUCGCAUAGGCACACAGGUAAGUGUAGCAGGUAAGAGUAGCACCUGUCCAGAGUCAGUUCGAUACGAAAUCCGAUCGAAAAGGAAAAUUCCAAGCGACAAAUGCGCAGUUCGAGCAACAAGGGGAAGUGGAAGGGGAAAGCACAAAAAGACUUGCAUGUUCACCGACACGAGUCAUCGAACAUGCAAGGAAUGGAUUUAGAGGCUAGAUGGAAGCCCAAUUGUUCAACCAAACCGAAAAGGGGAUAUCAUUUUGCUUAGGAGACGACACAGUGGAGCAAAGCUGUCAACGAAACAUCCAUGGGCGAAGAGUGGGACAGAAAUUAUACGAGAGGAAGACUAAAUUUUUUUUCCCGCAAGAGAACAAAGGCCAUUCAAACAUAAAUAAGGAAGAUGUUCACGAGGAGUUGAGAAAAAAAAAGGGAUUUUUUUUCCGGCAACAGAACGAUAGGGACAGUGUGGUUGAAGACGAAUGAAGAGAUGAGGGGAUGAUUAUGUAUGAAAAUCGGGAAAGAAUCAAACGAUUUGGGAAAAGAUUGAAGGGGGGUUGAGGAGAUUUUGAAAAAAAUUUGAGAGAGAUGAAGACCGAUUGAGGGGGGUUGUCAUGAAUGGUUGAAGAAAGUGAAGUGGGGGAUUAAGAGCACCACCUAUGGUUGUCGGGGGGAUUAUGAGGCUGAAAGAGGUCGUGAUCGAAGAUCCAAGGAUCUGAAUCUAGGUGACUGUGGAUGGAGGAUUGUGAUAUGGCUUCAGACCUAGCUUAACCCAUGGUAGGUGUGGCUCUAUGUACACAUAGGAGCGGAUGGACGAUGUUGUUACUGUGGUAGAUGCUAAAUGGCCGUAUGUUUUCUUGUGGAUAUGGAUCAUGUGUGAGCUAUUCCAGGCCGUAUAUUUAGUAUGCUAUCAUAGUCGAAUUGGAUGGAGGUUACUAUCGUGGCAGAUGCUAAAUAUGCAUGAGCUAGUUGUUGCCGCAUGAUUUUUUGAUCAUGCACAAGCUAUUCAGCUAUUCUUGACCAUAUAUUUAGGUGUCUUGCCUUUAUCAAAUGUUGGCUCCAGGUUUAUUGGAAAAUACUUGUUGUUAAUAUGUGAUUUUAACGUUUUAACUAUUACUUUGUUAUUGAGGUUAUAUUUAAGUA